UACGUAGGGGGCAAGCGUUGUCCGGAUUUAUUGGGCGUAAAGAGCGUGUAGGCGGCCAGAUAAGUCCGCUGUGAAAUCUCGAGGCUCAACUUCGAGCUGUCGGUGGAAACUGUCUGGCUAGAGUCCGGAAGAGGAGAAUGGAAUUCCUGGUGUAGCGGUGAAAUGCGCAGAUAUCAGGAAGAACACCUAUGGCGAAGGCAGCUCUCUGGGACGGUACUGACGCUGAGACGCGAAAGCGUGGGGAGCGAACAGG
rnacentral:rRNA from 1 species